GUUGUAUGGUUAAGUGACUAAGCGUACAUGGUGGAUGCCUUGGCAGUCAGAGGCGAUGAAGGACGUACUAACCUGCGAUAAGCUGUGAGAAGUCGGUAAGAGACGCUAUUACUCACAGAUUUCCGAAUGGGGAAACCCACCCGAGAUAACUCGGGUAUCUGUUACUGAAUACAUAGGUAACAGAGGCGAACCGGGAGAACUGAAACAUCUAAGUACCCCGAGGAAAAGAAAUCAACCGAGAUUCCCUCAGUAGCGGCGAGCGAACGGGGAUUAGCCCUUAAGCAUCUUGGAAGUUAGUGGAACGGUCCUGGAAAGGCCGGCGAUACAGGGUGAUAGCCCCGUACACGAAAACAACCUUGAUGUGAAAUCGAGUAGGGCGGGACACGUGACAUCCUGUCUGAAUAUGGGGGGACCAUCCUCCAAGGCUAAAUACUCCUGACUGACCGAUAGUGAACCAGUACCGUGAGGGAAAGGCGAAAAGAACCCCUGUGAGGGGAGUGAAAUAGAACCUGAAACCGUGUACGUACAAGCAGUGGGAGCCCUUCGGGGUGACUGCGUACCUUUUGUAUAAUGGGUCAGCGACUUACAUUUUGUAGCGAGGUUAACCGUAUAGGGGAGCCGUAGGGAAACCGAGUCUUAACUGGGCGUCUAGUUGCAAGGUGUAGACCCGAAACCGGGUGAUCUAGCCAUGGGCAGGUUGAAGGUUGAGUAACAUCAACUGGAGGACCGAACCCACUAACGUUGCAAAGUUAGGGGAUGACCUGUGGCUGGGGGUGAAAGGCCAAUCAAACUCGGAGAUAGCUGGUUCUCCCCGAAAGCUAUUUAGGUAGCGCCUCGGACGAAUACUACUGGGGGUAGAGCACUGUUUGGGCUAGGGGGUCAUCCCGACUUACCAACCCCAUGCAAACUCCGAAUACCAGUAAGUAAUAUCCGGGAGACACACGGCGGGUGCUAACGUCCGUCGUGAAGAGGGAAACAACCCAGACCGCCGGCUAAGGUCCCAAAGUUCUGGUUAAGUGGGAAACGAUGUGGGAAGGCUCAGACAGCUAGGAUGUUGGCUUAGAAGCAGCCAUCAUUUAAAGAAAGCGUAAUAGCUCACUAGUCGAGUCGGCCUGCGCGGAAGAUGUAACGGGGCUCAAACCAGGCACCGAAGCCGCGGAUUCACACUUAUGUGUGAGUGGUAGGGGAGCGUUCUGUAAGUCUGCGAAGGUGUAUCGAGAGGUAUGCUGGAGAUAUCAGAAGUGCGAAUGCUGACGUAAGUAACGAUAAAGGGGGUGAAAAGCCUCCUCGCCGGAAGACCAAGGGUUCCUGUCCAACGUUAAUCGGGGCAGGGUGAGUCGACCCCUAAGGCGAGGCCGAAAGGCGUAGUCGAUGGGAAGCAGGUUAAUAUUCCUGCACGACUUGUAAUUGCGAUGGGGGGACGGAGAAGGCUAGGUGGGCCAGGCGACGGUUGUCCUGGUGAAAGUGCGUAGGUGGUGUUUCUAGGCAAAUCCGGAGACACAACACUGAGACACGAGACGAACACACUACGGUGUGGAAGCCAUUGAUGCCCUGCUUCCAGGAAAAGCCUCUAAGCUUCAGAUUACAAGUCAUCGUACCCCAAACCGACACAGGUGGUCGGGUAGAGAAUACCAAGGCGCUUGAGAGAACUCGGGUGAAGGAACUAGGCAAAAUAGAACCGUAACUUCGGGAGAAGGUUCGCUCUUGACAGUGAAGUCCCUUGCGGAUGGAGCAGUUGGGAGUCGCAGUGACCAGAUGGCUGGGACUGUUUAUCAAAAACACAGCACUCUGCAAACACGAAAGUGGACGUAUAGGGUGUGACACCUGCCCGGUGCCGGAAGGUUAAUUGAUGGGGUUAGCGCAAGCGAAGCUCUUGAUCGAAGCCCCGGUAAACGGCGGCCGUAACUAUAACGGUCCUAAGGUAGCGAAAUUCCUUGUCGGGUAAGUUCCGACCUGCACGAAUGGUGUAACCAUGGCCAUGCUGUCUCCACCCGAGACUCAGUGAAAUCGAAUUCGCCGUGAAGAUGCGGUGUACCCGCGGCUAGACGGAAAGACCCCGUGAACCUUUACUACAGCUUGGCACUGAACAUUGAACCUACAUGUGUAGGAUAGGUGGGAGGCUUUGAAGGCGUGACGCCAGUUGCGCUGGAGCCGUCCUUGAAAUACCACCCUUGUAUGUUUGAUGUUCUAACGCAGGGCCCUGAAUCGGGCUCGCGGACAGUGCCUGGUGGGUAGUUUGACUGGGGCGGUCUCCUCCCAAAGAGUAACGGAGGAGCACGAAGGUUGGCUAAUCCUGGUCGGACAUCAGGAGGUUAGUGCAAUGGCAUAAGCCAGCUUAACUGCGAGACGGACAGGUCGAGCAGGUACGAAAGUAGGUCAUAGUGAUCCGGUGGUUCUGAAUGGAAGGGCCAUCGCUCAACGGAUAAAAGGUACUCCGGGGAUAACAGGCUGAUACCGCCCAAGAGUUCAUAUCGACGGCGGUGUUUGGCACCUCGAUGUCGGCUCAUCACAUCCUGGGGCUGAAGUCGGUCCCAAGGGUAUGGCUGUUCGCCAUUUAAAGUGGUACGCGAGCUGGGUUCAGAACGUCGUGAGACAGUUCGGUCCCUAUCUGCCGUGGGCGUUGGAUGAUUGAAGGGAGUUGCUCCUAGUACGAGAGGACCGGAGUGAACGAACCUCUGGUGUUCGGGUUGUCACGCCAGUGGCACUGCCCGGUAGCUAAGUUCGGAAUCGAUAACCGCUGAAAGCAUCUAAGCGGGAAGCGAGCCCUGAGAUGAGUCAUCCCUGACCCCUUGAGGGUUCUAAAGGGCCGUUGGAGACCACAACGUUGAUAGGUGGGGUGUGUAAGCGCGGCGACGUGUUGAGCUAACCCAUACUAAUUACCCGUGAGGCUUAACCAUACAACACCCAAGAAGUGUUCU
rnacentral:rRNA from 1 species